rnacentral:rRNA from 1 species
AUCAUUACCGAAUCGUCAAACACGGGUUUGUUUGCUGGCCCCCCAAACGGGGCAUGUGCACGCUCUGUUUACGCAUCCACUCACACCUGUGCACCCUCUGUAGUCCUAUGGUUCGGAAGACCCCGUCUUCCUUCUGUAGYUCUACGUCUUUACACACACGCCGUAGCGAUGUCUCAUGGAAUGUUUUUAUGCGUUUAAYGCGAUACAAUACAACUUUCAGCAACGGAUCUCUUGGCUCUCGCAUCGAUGAAGAACGCAGCGAAAUGCGAUAAGUAAUGUGAAUUGCAGAAUUCAGUGAAUCAUCGAAUCUUUGAACGCACCUUGCGCCCCUUGGUUAUUCCUUGGAGCAUGCCUGUUUGAGUAUCAUGAACACCUCAACUCUCACGGUCUUCCGUGAUGAGCUUGGACUUUGGGGGUUUGCUGGCCCUGCGGCCGGCUCCUCUCAAAUGAAUCAGCUUGCCAGUGUUUGGUGGCAUCACGGGUGUGAUAACUAUCUACGCUCGCGGUCGUCUGCCAGGUAACCCUCAGCAAUGAAGGUUCAUUGGAGCUCAUAAACGUCUCUCCUCGGCGAGGACAACUUUUGAACGUUCGAUCUCAAAUCAGGUAGGAUUACCCGCUGAACUUAAGCAUAUCAAUAAGCGGAGGAAAAGAAACUAACAAGGAUUCCCCUAGUAACUGCGAGUGAAGCGGGAAGAGCUCAAAUUUAAAAUCUGGCGUGCCUCUGGUCGUCCGAAUUGUAGUCUGGAGAAGCGUUUUCCGUGUCG